rfam:Pteropus alecto contig99577, whole genome shotgun sequence.
GGGAGGGCAGUCUGGCUGCGACAUCUUUCACCCCAUUGAUCACCAGGGUCGAUUCAGCUGACUCGGUGAGUGUCCCUUUCCUCCCCGAUUUCUCCAUGUGUGUCCCUCUGGAAGCUGUGUGCUUGAAGAUGACCUUUCCCGAUAGAGGAGAGGACCGUUCUUCAGUCAAGAGCAUAUGCGUAGCUGUGCUCCCCUGCUCGGACCCCCCAAACAAGCUCUCAAAAUGGUUCCUUUUUCCUUCCCCCUGCCAGAACCUGGUUAAGCUCCUGGAGGUAAAUUUUUGGGUUCACUGGAAUUUUUAACUCUCAGAGUU